AGAGUUUGAUCCUGGCUCAGGAUAAGUCGUAACAAGGUAGCCGUAGAGUUUGAUCCUGGCUCAGAAUGAACGCUGGCGGCGUGCUUAACACAUGCAAGUCGUGCGCGAAGGCGGCUUCGGCUGCCGGAGAGCGGCGAACGGGUGAGUAACACGUGGGUAAUCUGCCUGGGAGUGGGGGAUAACCUGGGGAAACCCGGGCUAACACCGCAUACGAUGCCGGGUCUAAGGAUCUGGUCUGAAAGCUGGCCUCUGCUUGCAAGCUAGCGCUCCCAGAGGAGCCCGCGGCUGAUUAGCUGGUUGGUGGGGUAAUGGCCUACCAAGGCGACGAUCAGUAGCCGGCCUGAGAGGGUGAUCGGCCACACUGGAACUGAGACACGGUCCAGACUCCUACGGGAGGCAGCAGUGGGGAAUAUUGGACAAUGGGCGCAAGCCUGAUCCAGCAACGCCGCGUGGAGGACGAAGGUCUUCGGAUCGUAAACUCCUGUCAGACGGGACGAAGGUCUGGGGGUGAAUAACUCUCAGGCUUGACGGUACUGUCAGAGGAAGCCCCGGCUAACUCCGUGCCAGCAGCCGCGGUAAUACGGAGGGGGCGAGCGUUAUUCGGAAUUAUUGGGCGUAAAGGGCGCGUAGGCGGCUUGAUAAGUCAAAGGUGAAAUCCCUCGGCUCAACUGAGGAACUGCCUUUGAAACUGUCUGGCUUGAGGCCGGGAGGGGGUAGCGGAAUUCCCAGUGUAGCGGUGAAAUGCGUAGAUAUUGGAGGAACACCGGUGGCGAAGCGGCUACCUGGACCGGUUCUGACGCUGAUGCGCGAAAGCGUGGGUAGCAACAGGAUUAGAUACCCUGGUAAUCCACGCUGUAAAC
rnacentral:rRNA from 1 species